rnacentral:misc_RNA from 1 species
GACUUGAGAACUUUCAAGGUAGAUCCAUUGUGACCCCAUGAGAUCGAGACCUAGUGCCUUGAGGUGUCAAGGGUUGGGAUCUCUGGGAUAGAGAGAGCUUACAAUUUUGGCUUCAAGGAGUGCAUUGGACGAAGCAGUGAUUGAGCUCAAGGAUGCUCUAUUCUUGGUGUGAGGCUUGGUUAGGGCUUGCUUGGGAAAAUAUUGGAUGGUUAUGAAUACGGCAAC